rnacentral:rRNA from 1 species
CUGCGUACCUUUUGUAUAAUGGGUCAGCGACUUAUAUUCUGUAGCAAGGUUAACCGAAUAGGGGAGCCGAAGGGAAACCGAGUCUUAACUGGGCGUUAAGUUGCAGGGUAUAGACCCGAAACCCGGUGAUCUAGCCAUGGGCAGGUUGAAGGUUGGGUAACACUAACUGGAGGACCGAACCGACUAAUGUUGAAAAAUUAGCGGAUGACUUGUGGCUGGGGGUGAAAGGCCAAUCAAACCGGGAGAUAGCUGGUUCUCCCCGAAAGCUAUUUAGGUAGCGCCUCGUGAAUUCAUCUCCGGGGGUAGAGCACUGUUUCGGCAAGGGGGUCAUCCCGACUUACCAACCCGAUGCAAACUGCGAAUACCGGAGAAUGUUAUCACGGGAGACACACGGCGGGUGCUAACGUCCGUCGUGAAGAGGGAAACAACCCAGACCGCCAGCUAAGGUCCCAAAGUCAUGGUUAAGUGGGAAACGAUGUGGGAAGGCCCAGACAGCCAGGAUGUUGGCUUAGAAGCAGCCAUCAUUUAAAGAAAGCGUAAUAGCUCACUGGUCGAGUCGGCCUGCGCGGAAGAUGUAACGGGGCUAAACCAUGCACCGAAGCUGCGGCAGCGACGCUGAUGCGUUGUUGGGUA